UGAAAAGAAUGUAUGUUAAAAUAAUGUACGUUGUAAAUUAUAAGUAUUGCACACAAAUCAGGUAUUGGUAUUGUCAUUGAUCAUGUGUUUUCAAAUAGGGAAUAUAAGUAUCAGAAUUUAAAUGACAUAUCCAAGAAAAGAAUCCCAAGAUGAAACCCCAUCCUACAGCAUCUCAAGUUAAAGAGUUGACACUCUCAAGACAAAACUAAAAUCAAGCCUUGAAUGAAUUAUUUUAGGUAAUUUAGAAGCCAUAAUUAUAAGAAGACUACAAAUUACUUAAUCUAUAAAAGCCUCCGUGCUCUAUUUGUUACAAGGGAAUUCAUUUUUUUUACAAAAGUAUGUUGCUCCAUGAAGUGCCUGUGUCCUCUGCGCACACCUUGUGUGAAGCAUCAAGGUCCAGCUGGAGUAGGCGGGGCUGACCAGUGGGAGCUCCUCAGGACAGGGGCCAGGGCACAGCUCCUGCUGCUCUGGGCUGCACCUGCAAGAUGACAGAAGGAGGCACUAGACCUUGGCAAAGUCUGCACCACAGCUGCUGUGGUCUGAAUGUUUGUGUCCCCCAAAUUUAAUUGGUUAAAAUCCUAACUCCCAAGAUGAUGGUAUGAGGAGGUGGGUCCUUUAGGAGGUGAUUAGGUCAUGAGGGUGGUGCCCUUAUGAGUGGGAUUAGUGCCCUUAUUAAAAAGGCCCCAGAAAGCUCGCUUGCCCUCCCACCACGUGAGGACACAGCGAGAAGACAGCCCCAAAUUUAAUUGGUUAAAAUCCUAACUCCCAAGAUGAUGGUAUGAGGAGGUGGGUCCUUUAGGAGGUGAUUAGGUCAUGAGGAUGGUGCCCUUAUGAGUGGGAUUAGUGCCUUUAUUAAAAAGGCCCCAGAAAGCUCGCUUGCCCUCCCACCACAUGAGGACACAGCGAGAAGACAGCUGUCUGCAGCCUGGAAGGGAGCACUCACCAGAACCUAACCAUGCUGGUCCCGAUCUCAGAUGCCCAGCCUCCAGACCUGGGAGAAAUAGAUGUCUGCUGUGUACAAGUUACCCAGUCUAUAUUACAAUGGCUCAAACAGACUAAGAACAGUUUUUUUCAGUGGACAGUGAGAUCAUGAGUUAGUUUAACUCCUGGGAAGUAAUUUGGCUAAAGUUAAAGUCAUGCUUUACCAUUGCAGAACAAGUUUCCAUUCGGCAAAGUGUUUUGUGGUUUAUUUCAAUUGGUACUGGGGACUGGAUUUCUUUACUUUGGUGACUCAAACAGAAAUUUACUCUUAAACGUGUUUGAGUGUCGCUAGGUUCCCGCUCUGCAUUGGCUUGGGGGAAUCCAGCCAUGAGUCAGACACCGCCCCAGCCCUCAAGAUGUUUACGGCUCUCCGCUCUGGCUGGAAACAUGUUAAUGUAAACAAGGAAGCCUGGGAAAGAGUUAAAAGGUGACAGAUCUGUCACAGACAAGAGCCUGGGCUGGGCUUGCCAGGCACCCUGCCAAUGUCUACAGGGAGGAAACAGGCUGGAAAAGGGCAAUUUAGUGAGGCUGUCCCAGAACUGAAUCCGAAUCUGCAAGAUUGAGGACCACACUCUGAGCCAUCUAGACAAAUGCCACUUUGGAGAGAGAGAGAGAGAUCGAGAGAGAGAGAGAAUGAAUGUGCUGAUUCACAAAACUGAAAGUUACAGAGGGGGUGGUAGAUCUCCUCUAGGUACAGCUGGAUGGCAGGCGUCUCCUAUGAGGGUGUCAGGGGUUUCUUGAUUAGGUGGUCUCUGGACAGAUGGCUGCCUGCAGUCGCAAGCUUCUGGGGGCCUUCAGAUCGCAAUCCCCAAACAAGAGCACGUCUGCACUGAUUGCUCUAGCAGAAGUCCCAUGGAGGACUCUGCUCCCAACAAUGCCCCCAACCCCUGGAUCAGGGGCCACGGGCAGCCAGCCCCAUCCAAACCCCUGGGACUGACUAGCAUUGCUAGGGAAUGUGGGAGGAAGGCUUUCCAAAUAAAGGUGAGCGAGCGAACCUCCUGUCUUCCCCUGCGGCCUUUGCUGAGGCACACCUUCCUUUCAGAAUUCACCAGUGUCUCCUUCUCGGUUAUCUGUCCCAUCACCAGUAUCUCAGAAACAGUGAGUGCCGUGCAGCACCGCCCCUACUCAGCGUCUACUAGAAAUUCUCAUCACUUUCCUGCAAAGCAGGUGUAGUGAAAGGCAUAAAAACCCUGGAAACAGAUUUGGGUUCAAGUAUUAACUUUGCUCCUAACUUAACUCUUUUGGGAACAUCUCUUUAACUUGUUUCUUCAUCUGUGAAGGAGGAUAAUGUGCCCAUGUCAUAGAAUAGCUGCGAGGACCAAAUGGAUUCACAGGUGCCCAGGAUAGUGCCUGAUGCUCAACAGAUGAUUAAAACGUGACCAGGAUUAUCACGGCUUCAGUAGCAACACCCGAUUCACAGAGAAGACGAUCUGAGAUCUCCCAGUUCUGUCUCCUGGUAUAACUUUGUUUUGUUUUGUUUUCUCUCUGUUCUGCCUUUUUAUUGAUGACUCUGGGGAAGCAACAAGAUCAUACUACUAAUUCUUUUUCCUUUUUACCCAUUAAUUCUUAAGUGGAAACCAGUCAGAGGCAUGGAAUUGGAGCACAGGAAGCUGGUGUGGGUGAGAGAAUUUCAUGCAGACCGCAGGGAAGCUUGGAAGAUCAUCCCUGCCCCACCGUGACCAGCAGGUCUGGGUUUCAGAAUUCAGAGGCUUGCUUCCUAGAAUGUCUUGUACAGCAGCUCCCUUUUCUGAGAUCCAGUUUGACUAACCCUGUUCUCUUCCAGGAAUAUAUACCCUGCAUUACUCUCUGCUUACCUAACAGCCGUGACAUCUCUAUUCCGCGUGCUAGAGAUUUAUCCGUGGUCAUCUGGAUUGGAGUUCUGGGAGGUGGUAAAGCCUGUCUCUCGGUUUUACUUCCACAGAUGGUCAUUUAUUGUGUAUAGAGUUUAUUUACCUUUCAGAGGGCAACCCUUUUUCCUAUUUUGCUGUUGUCAUUGGCUGUUGUUGGCUGUUGUUGGGAGAAGCUCAUUUCUUCUCUAUUACUGCCAACAAGCUGGUUUUCUUGAAGGAAUACAUCUGUACAAAAUCUCCUGGUUUAAGGUCAGACAGGGACAGUGGUGCCCUCCUGUUGGAAUCUCACUUCCGU
rnacentral:lncRNA from 10 species